rnacentral:sRNA from 1 species
CCGCCUACCCCCAAUACAACUAUCCCCCAGAGGCCGCGGCACCGGACGGAAAGCAACCUCCUCCCCCUUAUACAUAGAAAUUCUUAUUUUUGCUGUGUGUGACAUCCAAAGAACAUUUGAUUCAUUUUGAAAUAACAGGGUAUAUAUCUGUUAAUAAUAAAAAAAAUAUUGCAAUUGAGCUUUUUAGUUUCAAAUGUUUAUUAACUCGUGCAUAUAGAAAGGUUAAGCUUUAUUAAUUUAGUUUUACAGAUUAUUGAUAGUUAUAUAAUAUCCUGUUUUGCUACACGUAGAAGAAUCUGUGUGAUAAUGAUACAAAUUGUUUUAAUUAAAGAACAUGUUAUUUAAAAUUCCUGUAAUAUGCAGUAUGUUUAUUAAAUUUUUAAUGUGUUUAAACAU